rnacentral:misc_RNA from 1 species
CCCCGAAGAAGCCCGGAACGUUCUCUCUUUUCUGUUGCUGCAACCCCCCCACCCCCUCCUUCCCCGCACUUGUAUUUUAUUCUACUGCACUCGCUACGCGUGAGAGAGAACGAACACGGCGCCGGUGCCCCUUUCACCCAUCAUCCUCGUCUUUGAUACAUUCUCAUCUCACUUGUACCCAUAGAGAGAGACACGCACGCGCGGCAGGCCGCCGCACCACAGCACGCCCCCUCGCUCGGUGUGCCAAUCAUUAUCAUCGUUCGCACUAGCGCCGAUCCCCGCUGCCACUUCAGCGCGUCAUCGUCCCGCACAUCCCGGGUCUCCCCUCCCCUCCUUGGCCAAACACACAUACCCCCCCCCCCCCAAGCGUGUGCGGCAGGUUCGGCAUUCUCAUUUUUCGCUACGUGAUCAACGGUCGCCUUCUCCCCUCCCUUUCUUGCUCCUCCCCAGUCCCUUGCACUUCGCCUCUUUCCUUUUUUCGCAUCUCGGUGUAUGCGGGUAGCUCCGUCUGAGGCGGGGUUUGCCUGUGCGUGUCUGCCGCUCUCUCCGCACGAAGAAACAACUGAAAAAAGGAAAGAGGGCGAGGCACUACGCGCACGUGCGCGUACGACGGGUGCCUUCCGCUAUACACGUGCGGAAGUCGGCUCUGCGUCAGCCGUUUUCGGUGACCAUCGCCGCAGUCAUCGCGACUAUUUUUUUUUCUUCGUUUCCUUUUCUUUUCCGUCUGCGCAGUCACGUGCUUAAACCCGCCGCACAGAGUCGCGUGCACAGCUGCUUGCACUGAAAAACGGCACUACUGCCUGGAAGCACCUGCACACCCGCCCCCUGCAGACCUCCUAUACAUGCACCAUCACAUGAGCACACGCGUGCACAUUUAUACAUCUGCCUUUCGCGUAUCAUUGCACUAAGUUGUACAGCGUUUCUCACCCUGUCUCCUAUUCUGUUCAGUUCUUCUCGGCUUGUUUUUCCUUUCCCCUUCCGCCGCCGCCGCCCAGUGCUCGUGUGUCACGCUCUCCUCGCUCGCUGGCCUUGCGUUUUCCACCUUCGUCUUCCUCCCCCUUGUCUUUCUCAGCCCCGACUCGCACCAUUUCUGGUGGUGACGCUGACGUCUCUCUUCUCCCGCUUUCCUUUUCCUCGGCGCCUCCCUCCCUCUCUGUCGGAGUCUCUGUCCUCUGCGCAUCGUACUGCUUUUCUCUCCAUCUCUUUUUGGAAGCCGCAUCCCAUCUUGCCUCUGCGCGCCUGCCGUCACUGUUAGGCCUGUGCGCUGUCCGGCAUUAUUAUCGUUGCCAUUCUCUGCUCCGUGUGCUGUGCCGCUGUGAGUUGCGUGGCUGACCUCUUCGCUCCUCCCGCAUCCUCUCUCAGCACUUCUUUUUGCCUCAUUCCCCCCCCCUCCCUGCCUCCUGGCGUCUGGCGCGCGCACACACACACGCACGUUCUGCAAUGGAGGAGCAAGACCAGCGAAAGCCGAACGGCGGCAACAACGGCCUGCCAGUGCCACCCAGCACGACAGAGACCGGUCAGGGCCCUCUGCAGGACAUCCUCGGCCGGACGCCGAACUGCCAGUACGUCAAAAAGCGCUUGCUGGGACAGGGCAGCUUUGGUAGCGCGUGGCGCGUGGAGGAAAGCGCGACCGGCAACGUCUUCGCCGCGAAAGUGAUGGACCUGAAUAGCAUGAGCGAGAAGGACCGUGGUUUCGUGACAAACGAGGUGAAGUGUCUCUCGCGCUGCUGCAACCCGCACGUCGUGCGUUGCGAGAACGCCAUCGAGAGAGAGGGGCAGCUGCUGAUUGUGAUGGAGUACGCCGAUGGCGGGGAUCUGUACAAGCAGAUAAAGGCCCGCGUGCGCGAGAUGAAGUUUUUCCGCGAGCACGAGGUGGUGUUCAUCUUUCUGCAGCUCUGCCUUGCCCUGGACCACAUCCACUCGAACAAGAUGAUGCACCGCGACCUGAAGACCGCAAACAUACUCCUCACUACCACCGGCCUCGUCAAGCUCGGCGACUUCGGCUUUUCGCGCCAGUACGAGGACUCCCUCUCCAAUGCCGUCGGCUCGACCUUCUGUGGCACGCCAUACUACCUCAGCCCGGAGUUGUGGCAUCGCCAGCCGUACAGCAAGAAGAGUGAAAUGUGGGCCCUCGGAGUCGUGCUUUACGAGGUCAUGGCGCUCCGCCGCCCCUUCACCGGCAAGAACAUGGAUGAACUCAUCACAAACAUAUGCCACGGGCGGCGCUCUGACCUGCCGUCAUCGUACUCGGCGAGCUUGCGCGAUGUGUGCAACCGACUUCUCUCCGUCGACUCCAACACGCGGCCGACGAUUCACGAGCUGUUUCACGAGCCUUUUAUUCGCUCCAACCUCGAGACCCUCAAGCGCAGCGUGGAAAAGCACAACCGCAUCCCUGCCGACGUGCGCGAGGCCAUCGCGCGCUGCAUUACGCAGUCGCUGAACACGGAGGAACCGCCUGCGCACUUGGAGGAGCCGGAGCCGCUCAUUGGCACGGUGAAGCGCCACACGGCGCUGCGCGGAUGGCAGAAGUGCCUCUUGAGUUUCGACAAGAAGCAGAUUUCGAUCCGGGAUCCAAGCGGGGUGGACCCGGAAGAGGUGGUGCCGGUCGCCACUCUGACCUCCGUGUGCCCCAUCGAUGUCAUGAUGGCUGGCGAGGAGUUCGUCUUUGCCAUGAAGAACCAGGCGGGCAAGGCCUUUUGGUUCAUGGCGCCGACCCAGAGGGCGUACGAGCAGUGGCUGACUACGUUGCAGGAAGCCGCCCCGUAACUACCGCUGACGUUGAUGGGCGGGCACGUCCCGAGCUCUCGUCUGUCUCCUUGUUUUUUGUGUUUCUGCAGUGGACGACUCUCACUCGUGACGACUUGGUGGGGGGCGCAGAUGCGCAGACGCCUGCGCGCGCACCUCUACGGAAGGAGCACACCCAUCACACGUCUCCUGCUGUCCUCUCCGCCACCUGCCGCCCACUUGCGCCUCAGCCUCUCUCUUCUGCCCCUUCGCUUUGUGUACGCUUCAGGGCUCGCACGCGUGCGGAUGAGAGCGCCUCUGGUCUCCCGCAUCAUGUAGUUGGGCGCUCCCGCAUGCGGUGCCUUUCACCUGCUCGUUGCCGCCUCCCCUCACACAAACACACAUGCUCCUGGUCUUUCCUGAUUUAUUAUUUUUUUAUGGUUCGGCUGCCCUUUUCUAGCAGAACGGUGCACGCUACCUUCCUCCCCCUCCUUCGCCCCCGCUGCCUCUCGCGCUCUAUCUCUAUUCGUGAUCUCGCACUUGUGAGGGCAGAGGAUGCAGACACACACGCACGCACGCCAUUUCUCGUUUUUUUUUUUCGCCCUGCUUGUGCCUGUCUGUCUGAGGCUUUUGCCCUUCCCACCUUCUCGUUCUCUCUCUCUGCCGCUGCGCGAUCCGCACGCGUCCUUCAUGUCUGCGCACGCGUCGGCGGGCCGUUUCACGCCCUUGUGCCUUCUCUGCCCUUCUCUCGGUUAUGUGUCUCUUUUGCUUCCCUCUGCUUCAGGCGCAACGUCAGAGGCACAUGCGCAGGCAAUGCACAGCGGGAACAACGCGCUGCGUGUGCACGCACGGAAAGGAAAGGAAAAGAAAGACGAAUUUUUGGUCAGACAAGCACGACUGCGGAUUCGCCACGAUAGUGCACACCAACAACGGAGGCAGUGUGACGGCGGCAGUGAUGUAUCGCGACAGUGUGCACGCAAAAGUGACAUCUGCACUUGUGCGUUUAUCUCGGUGGUGUGACGGCCGUUGGGUCUGUUUCGUGUUUUGUGAGUCAUCGCUCCUUAUCAAGAUCUGUCCUCAUCUCGGCCCGUCUGCCGCGUGCUCGGUUUGUGUUGUUGCGUGCACGAGCACUGGGCUGAGGGUGCGUUAGUUUGUCUCGUUCUCUGUAUGCGCGUGUGCGUGCCCGCAUCUGUUUCUGUGCGAACACUCGCUUCGGCUGUUUCACCUCUCUUCCGUCCCUCUGUCUCUCGUCUUUCCCACCUCAUUCGUGAGCUCUCUUGUGCGUCGCGUCACCUCUUUGCAGUCGGUGACCCCCUCCACUCCCCUCUCCCCGAGCGCCCCAGAGCCUAUCUCACAUCCACGUAGAGCGAGAUAGAGAGAAAGAGAGGGCGGCAUGCACACCAGUGCGGGCGCACAAGCGGGCCGAAAGCCGACGGGCCGGCGCAUCUCGCCAUCUCGCGGGGACGUGCCGCUCUUGUCCCCGUCGAACGCUCUCUCGCCGCCCUUCUUCAUUUUUUCGUGGCAUUGCGACAGCUUCCUUUCCGGUCUCAUUUUCGUCUGUUUCUCUGUCCUUCUGUCGUGCCUACCUGUGUCUGUGUGUGUGCCCAGUUGGUGUUUGCUGCAUGUGUCGCCCUUCUCUCUUCGGCUCAUCCUGUGCUGCCCCUCCCCUACCCUCCCUCCUCCCUUUCUCUCUUCAGUCACGUUGCCCUUUUCGGUGCGUGCUUGUGCGCUCUCUGGGAGCUCCUCGUCGUGGCGUGCGUGUUGAUCUCGUGUCGCUGUCACUCUGGAACCACCGCGUGUUUGUGUGUGUAUACGUGUAUGUGUCUCUCUCUUUCUCUCUCUAUAUAUGUGUGUGUGUGUAUGUGCGUGUGUAGCAGCCCCACCCCCGUUUGUUGUGUGCCGCGAGUGCGUGGGGUCGCGCCCCGACGCGCGUGCAUCUGCGUGCAACGAUGUUGAUUUUCUUUGGUGUUUUGUUUCUUUCUCUCGUUGUCUGUGGCGGGGUCGUUUUCUUUGUGCACUCACGUUUGCGUGUGUCUCCGCCUACACCCUCCCAACCCUCCGCCUCCCUCGCUUACCACCGUGUACGCGCGCGCUCAUGCCAGAGGGAGGUGGUGUGUGUAUGUGUGCGUCUGUGCGUAUUGCCACGUCUUCAGACGAGCAGAUAUGAAGUUAGCCGUGAGCGGCAGACAGCGG